GACGAACGCUGGCGGCGUGCUUAACACAUGCAAGUCGAACGAUGAAGUUCCUUCGGGAAUGGAUUAGUGGCGAACGGGUGAGGAACACGUGAGAAACCUGCCUUUCAUUUUGGGAUAUCUCCGGGAAACCGGGGCUAAAACCGAAUACUCCGUCUCGGCGGCAUCGCAGAGCCGGGAAACAAUUUUGAUGAAAGAUGGUCUCGCGGCCUAUCAGCUAGUUGGUGAGGUAAUGGCUCCCCAAGGCAACGACGGGUAGCCGGCCUGAGAGGGCGACCGGCCACACUGGGACUGAGACACGGCCCAGACUCCUACGGGAGGCAGCAGUGGGGAAUAUUGGGCAAUGGGCGCAAGCCUGACCCAGCGACGCCGCGUGAGGGAUGAAGGCCUUCGGGUUGUAAACCUCUUUCAGUAGGGAAGAAGCGAAAGUGACGGUACCUAAAGAAGAAGCACCGGCUAACUAUGUGCCAGCAGCCGCCGUAA
rnacentral:rRNA from 1 species